rnacentral:ncRNA from 1 species
GUUUGAUAAAGGCAAAUUCACUGAAAAGUGGGGACGCAAAGCUAAAGGGGCUUCAUUUCUUAUAAUAUGCCAGCCAGCUACCUUA